rnacentral:lncRNA from 1 species
UUCAUUACAUUUUAGUCCCUCGACACCAUAAUCGAUGGUGGCGUAUUCUAUUAGUUUGAUUCAAACUAUCAUUGGUAUGUCUCCUCCUUCCGGGCAUAAACAUCCAGGGAUAAAUUCAUCUACAGGGUCAAGAAUAGAUGCUGGAUUGAUGCGUAUUCAGAACUUGGAACCAAGAAAUAAAAUCCACAGUUGCGGAGUAAUGCAUUAUGGGCAGAAAUAGAGAAGUAGCUAUAAUUAUUAAAAACGCCAAGAGCCUUAAUUAAAUGAUUCUGCAUGGUACUGGUACAAAAGAUGAUCCCAAAAAAGAUAAAACAUAGCCAAGCCAUUCUAAUACAAACAUCAGACCAUUAUUCCAUAUGAUGGGCAUUAUGCAACUGGCAAAGACAGUUAUACUUAGAUGCAAUAAUUAGAUGGAUGAUUCAGUUGUAGGAACAAUUAGAGAGAAGCAGUAUAGCAUCAUGGAGAUUCGGUUGUAGGAACAAAUCUGAUGGGAGGGAUAAACCUACAUCUUCGUUCCUAUCUUAGCAUCUUACAGCUACAAUCAGCAGUGCAUGAAUAGGACAUUUUCCAUGGAUUUGAAUAAGUAUUUUUGAAAUGGGUAAACUACAGAGUACUCGCUACUAUGCAAAGGGCAAAGGGAAAUAAACAGUGUUCUAACCAUCUGAUUUCUUCGUUCGAAAUGCCCUUCUUCCUUGAAUUCCAAGCAGGUUGCAUCUCACCAGUCCAUUGGAAAUGAAGGAAAACAUUAUAAGGAAACUGCUGAGAAAAGUGGUCCUCACAGAAGUAUUAAGUACAAUUCUCAUUAGUGUUCAGUUUAUAAUAGAGAUAGUGUUACCAUUUCGUAAGGAAUCAUGCGUUAAUAAAAAUAGUGUGAGAAACUUACAAAUAGGACCAAGACCAACAUCAACCUUUCCCUCCACCAUGAAUACCUUAACGACUGUCCUCAAGUUCAUCAUAAGCAAAUAGUCACAUAUACACACAUGAAGCCUGCACCACCACAACCAGGAUUAACCCAAAAUCAUCUACUAAUU